rnacentral:rRNA from 1 species
UAGUAACUGCGAGUGAAGCGGGAAAAGCUCAAAUUUAAAAUCUGGCANNNNNUGGUUGUCCGAGUUGUAGUCUGGAGAAGCGUUUUCCGCGUUGGACCGUGUACAAGUCUCCUGGAACGGAGCGUCAUAGAGGGUGAGAAUCCCGUCUUUGACACGGACUACCAGUGCUUUGUGAUGCGCUCUCAAAGAGUCGAGUUNNUUGGGAAUGCAGCUCAAAAUGGGUGGUAAACUCCAUCUAAAGCUAAAUAUUGGCGAGAGACCGAUAGCGAACAAGUACCGUGAGGGAAAGAUGAAAAGCACUUUGGAAAGAGAGUUAAACAGUACGUGAAAUUGCUGAAAGGGAAACGCUUGAAGUCAGUCGCGUCUGCUAGAACUCAGCCUGGCCUCGGCUUGGUGCAUUUUCUAGUGGACGGGCCAGCAUCUCUUUCGGUUGCGGGAUAAAGGUCGCAGAAAUGUGGCACCCUCGGGUGUGUUAUAGUCUGCGGCUGUAUACCGUGACUGGGAGUGAGGAACUCAGCACGCGCAAGCUGUGCUUAGGAUGCUGGCGUAAUGGCUUUAAACGACCCGGCUUGAAACACGGACCAAGGAGUCUAACAUGCCUGCGAGUGUUUGGGUGGAAAAC